rnacentral:rRNA from 1 species
AUUGAACGCUGGCGGAAUGCUUUACACAUGCAAGUCGAACGCCCCGCAAGGGGAGUGGCGCACGGGUGAGUAACGCGUGGGAAUAUGCCCUUCGGUUCGGAAUAACACAGGGAAACUUGUGCUAAUACCGGAUACGAUCUACGGAUGAAAGAUUCAUCGCCGAAGGAGUAGCCCGCGUAGGAUUAGCUAGUUGGUGAGGUAAUGGCUCACCAAGGCGACGAUCCUUAGCUGGUCUGAGAGGAUGAUCAGCCACACUGGGACUGAGACACGGCCCAGACUCCUACGGGAGGCAGCAGUGGGGAAUAUUGGACAAUGGGCGAAAGCCUGAUCCAGCCAUGCCGCGUGAGUGAUGAAGGCCUUAGGGUUGUAAAGCUCUUUCGCCAGGGAAGAUAAUGACGGUACCUGGAAAAGAAGCCUCGGCUAACUCCGUGCCAGCCGCCGCGGUAA